AGGUCCUCUGGGGGGUUGGCAUCAUAUCUUCUCAGGUGUUCGGUCAUCUCAGGUCUUUGUAAGGGUUGGAUCCAGACUGAAGCUUGGGUAAUUCCUAAACUGUAACCAAUUUUUGUCAUUUGAACAGUAUUUUACUGUAUUAUGUACAGUAAGAUACUGUAAAAUGUAUAUACAGUAUUUUACUGUAAACUGCAAAGCAUUAUGGGAAAAUAUAUGGUCACUACAAUAAACAACUGUAAAUUUACAGUAGUGAACUUGCCCACGAAAAACUGACCAAUGGCAAGUGAGAUUUAUUUUGUUUGCUGUUUGGUGGAAGCAGUGGUAAAAGGACAAAAGAGACACGUUGCACUGUUAACUGGACAAAAAGGUUAGUAUAUUAUUUCUGUUUUAUGCAAAACUGAGAUAUUUUAAGAUGUUUUAACUUGGUAACAGCAAACUAACAUUAUUCAUCGUGUCGUUUUUCAUGUCGGGAGUUAGAGCCUUUUUUCUGACUGAUGGCUGGAUUAACGCCGCCAUAACGGUGAUAACAUCGACUGUCUAGAUUUUGUCGACAACGUCGGAGGUGUAUUUUGGAGCCUCUUCUUGUGAAUGCCAUAGUAUCGAUGAUAACAUCAACUGUUUGUGAUCUUGUGGUCAUGUCGUCUGCAUCGGAGGAGUAUUGGACUCUUUUCCUGUGAUUGCCGUCGUAACAACAGGUGA